rnacentral:rRNA from 1 species
ACAUAACUGAUGCCUCCGCGUAUCGACUUUGUGCGCAUUUUAGCUAUUAUGUGUUCUUUUAAUUAAAAUGAUUCUUUUUAAGAUUCAUCUAUUAAAAAUUUGCUUCGGCAUAAUUUUUUUUGAUGAUCUUGUUACUUUGAGUAAAUUAGAGUGUUCAAAGCAAACAGAUAUAGCAUUUGUGCGUUUGAAUACUACAGCAUGGAAUAACAAAAUUGAACAAGUCAGAAUUUUUUUGUUCUUUUUUCUUAUUUUGGCUUAGUUACGAUUAAUAGGAGUAGCUUGGGGGCAUUUGUAUUCAGAUGUCAGAGGUGAAAUUCUUAGAUUUUCUGGAGACAAACAACUGCGAAAGCAUUUGCCUAAAAUACUUCCAUUAAUCAAGAACGAAAGUUAAGGGAGUGAAGACGAUCAGAUACCGUCGUAAUCUUAACCAUAAACUAUGCCGACUAGGCUUUGGAUGAAAGAUUUUAAAAUAAGAGUUUUUCUUUUCUCUCCGGAGAUUAGAACUCUUAGAUUGCUUCCUUCAGUGCCUUAUGAGAAAUCAAAGUCUUUGGGUUCUGGGGCGAGUAUUCGCGCAAGCGAGAAAGUUAAAAGAAUUGACGGAAGGGCACCACCAGGCGUGGAGCUUGCGGCUUAAUUUGACUCAACACGGGAAAACUCACUAGUUUAAGACAAGAGUAGGAUUGACAGAUUAAUAGCUCUUUCUUGAUUUCUUGGAUGGUGAUGCAUGGCCGUUUUUAGUUCGUGAAUAUGAUUUGUCUGGUUAAUUCCGAUAACGAACGAGAUCUUAACCUGCUAAUUAGCGGCAAAUACGAUAUAUUCUUAUGUAGAAUUGAAUAUAGUGGAUUUGUUAGAUUUUGAAGAAAAUAUUGGAAUUACGUUAAAUGUGAUUCCUUUCCCUUUUCUACUUAAUUUACAUUUCCAUCUAUUUCUUUUUUGCGUAUGAAUGUAUUUGCUUGAUUGUAAAGCUUCUUAGAGGAACGAUGUGUG